rnacentral:rRNA from 1 species
AGUUUGACUGGGGCGGUCUCCUCCUAAAGAGUAACGGAGGAGCACGAAGGUUGGCUAAUCCUGGUCGGACAUCAGGAGGUUAGUGCAAUGGCAUAAGCCAGCUUGACUGCGAGCGUGACGGCGCGAGCAGGUGCGAAAGCAGGUCAUAGUGAUCCGGUGGUUCUGAAUGGAAGGGCCAUCGCUCAACGGAUAAAAGGUACUCCGGGGAUAACAGGCUGAUACCGCCCAAGAGUUCAUAUCGACGGCGGUGUUUGGCACCUCGAUGUCGGCUCAUCACAUCCUGGGGCUGAAGUAGGUCCCAAGGGUAUGGCUGUUCGCCAUUUAAAGUGGUACGCGAGCUGGGUUUAGAACGUCGUGAGACAGUUCGGUCCCUAUCUGCCGUGGGCGCUGGAGAACUGAGGGGGGCUGCUCCUAGUACGAGAGGACCGGAGUGGACGCAUCACUGGUGUUCGGGUUGUCAUGCCAAUGGCACUGCCCGGUAGCUAAAUGCGGAAGAGAUAAGUGCUGAAAGCAUCUAAGCACGAAACUUGCCCCGAGAUGAGUUCUCCCUGAGACUUUAGGUCUCCUGAAGGAACGUUGAAGACGACGACGUUGAUAGGCCGGGUGUGUAAGCGCAGCGA